rnacentral:rRNA from 1 species
UUGAACGCUGGCGGCCUGCCUUACACCUGCAAGUCGAACGGUAACAGGUUAAGCUGCCGCGUGGCGAACGGGUGAGUAAUGUAUCGGAACGUGCCCAGUCGUGGGGGAUAACUGCUCGAAAGAGCAGCUAAUACCGCAUACGACCUGAGGGUGAAAGCGGGGGAUCGCAAGACCUCGCGCGAUUGGAGCGGCCGAUAUCAGAUUAGGUAGUUGGUGAGGUAAAGGCUCACCAAGCCGACGAUCUGUAGCUGGUCUGAGAGGACGACCAGCCACACUGGGACUGAGACACGGCCCAGACUCCUACGGGAGGCAGCAGUGGGGAAUUUUGGACAAUGGGCGCAAGCCUGAUCCAGCCAUGCCGCGUGCGGGAAGAAGGCCUUCGGGUUGUAAACCGCUUUUGUCAGGGAAGAAAAGGUUCUGGCUAAUACCUGGGACUCAUGACGGUACCUGAAGAAUAAGCACCGGCUAACUACGUG